CCUAAUACAUGCAAGUUGAGCGCUGAAGGUUGGUACUUGUACCAACUGGAUGAGCAGCGAACGGGUGAGUAACGCGUGGGGAAUCUGCCUUUGAGCGGGGGACAACAUUUGGAAACGAAUGCUAAUACCGCAUAAAAACUUUAAACACAAGUUUUAAGUUUGAAAGAUGCAAUUGCAUCACUCAAAGAUGAUCCCGCGUUGUAUUAGCUAGUUGGUGAGGUAAAGGCUCACCAAGGCGAUGAUACAUAGCCGACCUGAGAGGGUGAUCGGCCACAUUGGGACUGAGACACGGCCCAAACUCCUACGGGAGGCAGCAGUAGGGAAUCUUCGGCAAUGGACGAAAGUCUGACCGAGCAACGCCGCGUGAGUGAAGAAGGUUUUCGGAUCGUAAAACUCUGUUGGUAGAGAAGAACGUUGGUGAGAGUGGAAAGCUCAUCAAGUGACGGUAACUACCC
rnacentral:rRNA from 1 species